GACGAACGCUGGCGGCGUGCUUAACACAUGCAAGUCGAACGGUGAAGCGCCUUCCUUUUUGGUGGGUGUGGAUGAGUGGCGAACGGGUGAGUAACACGUGAGUAACCUGCCCCCUUCUUCUGGAUAACCGCAUGAAAGUGUGGCUAAUACGGGAUAUUCUGGUUCUGUCGCAUGAUGGUUCUGGGAAGGAUUUUGUUUCGUUGGGGGAUGGGCUCGCGGCCUAUCAGCUUGUUGGUGGGGUGAUGGCCUACCAAGGCGGUGACGGGUAGCCGGCCUGAGAGGGUGGACGGUCACACUGGGACUGAGACACGGCCCAGACUCCUACGGGAGGCAGCAGUGGGGAAUAUUGCACAAUGGGCGCAAGCCUGAUGCAGCGACGCCGCGUGAGGGAUGGAGGCCUUCGGGUUGUGAACCUCUUUCGCCAGUGAAGCAGGCCUGCCUCGUUUGUGGGUGGGUUGACGGUAGCUGGAUAAGAAGCGCCGGCUAACUACGUG
rnacentral:rRNA from 1 species